ACACAAAAGAAAAUAUAGGAAAAAGAAAGCAUGCGUCUCUCCCUUUCUCUUUUGGACCUAUUAUACUAAGAAUUCCACUGACUUUCACACACACAAAGACAUUUUUACACACACUCGGACACUCAGUAUCUAAAAAACUCCAAAGAAAAAGAAACCAAAGCCAACUAGCUAAGCAAAGCCAUCAAUUAUUUGUAUCACUUCCUACUCUUCUUCUUCUUCUUCUUCUCAAACAUUUCAUAAACAUUGUCACAAAACCAAAACCAAAUCAGUUCCAAACCUUCUAAAGUAAUCGACCAUGAUGUUCUCCGCCAAAGAAAUGCCUUCUCCUUCAUCAUUGUUCUCUGCUUAUGCGUCCAUGGCAGCCUCAAUGAUGCUAUUUAGAUCCAUGGCCAAUGAGCUAGUACCUCAGCCUGUUAGAGGCUACCUCUACUCAACUCUCCGCUACAUCUUCAAAACUCACUCCACUAUGCUCACACUAGUCAUCGAGGAAUCGAAUAGCAUAAGCCGAAACCAACUCUAUGAUGCUGCAGAGGUUUACUUGUGCACGAGGAUCAGUCCCAAGACUGACAGGCUCAAAAUCAGCAAAACCCCGAAAGCUAAUAACUUAACAAUUCGGCUCGAGAAAGGUGAGAAGUUGGUGGAUUUCUAUGAAGGGAUUGAGCUCCAGUGGAAGUUUGUUUGUGCCGAGUCAGGACAGAACAAUCCCAACGAUCCAUUUUCGCCUCCAAGGUCCGAAAAGAGGUUCUUUGAGCUCAAGUUCCACAAGAAGCACAAGGACAAAAUCUUGGAUAUUUAUGUGCCUUAUGUUGUUGAAAGGGCCAAAGCAAUCAAAGAUGAAGAAAGGGUUUUGAAGAUGUACACAUUAAACAGUUCCGGCCACCACCACCCUUACAAUGGCUUCAAGUGGGACUCCAUCAACCUCGAACACCCUUCAACAUUUGAGACUCUGGCCAUGGAUUUGGAGCUCAAGAAUGCUGUUAUUGAAGAUCUUAACAGGUUUGUGAGGAGGAAGGACUUCUAUAAGAAAGUAGGGAGGGCAUGGAAAAGAGGGUACUUGUUGUAUGGUCCUCCAGGCACUGGAAAAUCAAGCUUGGUUGCAGCCAUGGCUAACCAUCUCAAGUUUGAUGUCUAUGACUUGCAGCUUGCUAAUAUAUUUCGUGAUUCUGACCUGAGAAAACUGUUGCUGGCCACCGCAAAUCGGUCCAUUCUUGUGAUUGAAGACAUUGAUUGUAGUGUUGAUUUGCCUGAUCGGGUUCGACAUGGAGAUGGAAGAAAGCAAGUGCCUGAUGUACAGUUAACACUAUCUGGACUACUGAACUUCAUAGAUGGAUUAUGGUCUAGUUGUGGAGAUGAGAGGAUCAUAAUAUUUACCACUAAUCACAAGGAGAGAUUAGACUCUGCUCUAUUGCGCCCUGGACGCAUGGACAUGCAUAUUCACAUGUCCUAUUGCACAUACCAUGGCUUCCAACUCUUGGCCUCAAACUACUUGGGUAUCCAGAACCACCACUACCUCUAUGAUGAAAUCGAAGGCUUACUGAAAGAAACAGAGGUGACUCCUGCGCAAGUAGCAGAAGAGUUUAUGAAGAGUGAAGAAGUUGAUAUUGCACUUGAAGGACUGAUCAAGCUUUUAAAGCGGAAGAAGAUGGAAGGAGAUGAAUGCGAGGUUGAGAAUGAAAAGAAGAUCGGAGUGAAAGGAGCAAAGAGGCAGAAAACUGAGAACAAACAGAAGAAACCUGUGAGGAAUAGUAGGAAAAACACCACCAAAAGAUGCAGCAAUCGUUUAUCAGCUAAAGCCAACUAUUAUGCAUAAAUAUUCUCCAUGAUCCUUAUACAACAUUGAUGCUUGAGUUUGGGGUUUAGUUUCACUUCCUGGAGAUCUGUAUUGUAAUAACUGAGUAAAGGCCAUGUAGAUAUCAGUCAGUUUUGUGGCUUGCAUCGAUUUUGAAAGCUCAUUCCUUCAUGCUGUUAAUUACACUGACAUUAACAGAGAGAAGGUAUCUGUAGCCAGGAAAGUAAGAAAACUAUGGAUCAAGCUCUUUCAAAAACAAGUCUACUACAUCAAAAAUUACAUGCUACAUUGCUCCAAACUACAAGUUCAAAACUUAAUUGGCCUAUUUAAAGCUAGUUACAAAAUCAA